AUUGAACGCUGGCGGCAUGCUUUACACAUGCAAGCCGAACGGUAACAGGCCGCAAGGUGCUGACGAGUGGCGAACGGGUGAGUAAUGCAUCGGAACGUGCCCAGUCGUGGGGGAUAACGCAGCGAAAGCUGUGCUAAUACCGCAUACGAUCUAUGGAUGAAAGCGGGGGACCGUAGGGCCUCGCGCGAUUGGAGCGGCCGAUGUCAGAUUAGGUAGUUGGUGGGGUAAAGGCUCACCAAGCCAACGAUCUGUAGCUGGUCUGAGAGGACGACCAGCCACACUGGAACUGAGACACGGCCCAGACUCCUACGGGAGGCAGCAGUGGGGAAUUUUGGACAAUGGGCGCAAGCCUGAUCCAGCAAUGCCGCGGGCAGGAAGAAGGCCUUCGGGUUGUAAACUGCUUUUGUACGGAACGAAAGGGUUUGGGUUAAUACCCUGGGCCGAUGACGGUACCGUAAGAAUAAGCACCGGCUAACUACGUGCCAGCCGCCGCCGUAA
rnacentral:rRNA from 1 species